AGUGAACGCUGGCGGUAGGCCUAACACAUGCAAGUCGAACGGCAGCACAGUAAGAGCUUGCUCUUACGGGUGGCGAGUGGCGGACGGGUGAGGAAUACAUCGGAAUCUACUUUUUCGUGGGGGAUAACGUAGGGAAACUUACGCUAAUACCGCAUACGACCUACGGGUGAAAGCAGGGGAUCUUCGGACCUUGCGCGAUUGAAUGAGCCGAUGUCGGAUUGGCUAGUUGGCGGGGUAAUGGCCCACCAAGGCGACGAUCCGUAGCUGGUCUGAGAGGAUGAUCGGCCACAUUGGAACUGGGACACGGACCAGGCUCCUACGGGAGGGAGCAGUCGGGAAUAUUGGACAGUGGUCGGAAGCCUUGUCCAACCAUACCGCGUGGGUGGAGAAGGCCUUCGGGUUGUGAAGCCCGUUUGUUGGGAGAGAAAAGCAGCAGGUUAAUACCACGCUGUUCUGACGGUACCCAAAGAAUAAGCACCGGCUAACUUCGUG
rnacentral:rRNA from 1 species